GAUAAUUCUGGUCCUGGAUGCUGAUUGGUCAAUACAGUGUUACAGCCAUGCUAACAUGCAUGAUGUAUUAACAGCUAACAGAGUUUAUCCGUAUACUCUCAAUAAAACUACCUUGUUUGACUUCCAUGUUUAUGAAACGAAUGACAUUGUCUGUCAUUUGAUGAGCUUCUAACUAUUAUGCCUAUUUUGACCUCUGUGGUGGAUAUUGACGUCUGUGGUCUUUUUGCACCAUCAAUAGAAUGUCAGAUAGCAUCCACCAUUCAGUCUUAUUCAUAUUGGCAGACUGGUGUGUGUGAUUUAUUGAUCAAACUCUGUGUAUGAGACUAGAUUUUAAGUCACUACCACCCUGUUUUCCAUUCAACUGUAUGUUAUAAGAGAGAGAAAGGGAGGGGAAGAAGAAGGAGAUAAAUGAGAUGAAUUUGAGUUUUGAACUCUUAGCUCUAUCUAAUACAUAUUAUCAUUAAUUAUUAUUUUAGCGUCCAAAGUUGGAUGAUCCUGACAGCACUUUUACUCUCGUCUUCUGCUCAGAUGUGGGUAUUCGGUCAGUUAUUUAUUCAGAUGGGCCUGGUUUAUACCCUCUGCUGCUUGUUUGUGGUGUUUAUUCUCUCUCUCCUCCUACAGGCUUUGGCACGCUGCUCCUCUGCAGAGACAACAUCUAUCCAGGCUUCUAUUUAACAUCCUCUCUCACUGUGUGUGUUUGCUUGACUCUCAGACCUUUUUUGGGCAUGAGUUUGUAUUGAUGUGUUGAAGUGAUGGUGUGUUUUGACAAUUGUUUUUUGUAUUGAUUUUUUUUUUUUUAAGUUACACUGCUGUGAUGACUGUUUUUAAAAGGACCGAAGAAGAGACGUGUUCUGUGAAUGCUGGUUUGGUGUUGUAUUGCAUGCUUUGGUGAUGACACAACACAAGCAUCCUCAUACAUCGAAUGUCUCCUUCAUAGGAUGAAGGCUUGGUCAAGGAAAUCAGCAUCACUCACCAUGUCAAGGAAGGCUCGGAAAAAGCAGACACACGACAGUUUGAACUCUGCAAGGUGCUGGGCCAGGGCUCUUUUGGCAAGGUGUUUCUGGUCAAGAAGAUAACUGGGCCCGAUGCAGGACAGCUCUAUGCUAUGAAAGUGCUAAAGAAAGCUACGCUGAAAGUACGAGAUCGAAUGCGUACAAAGAUGGAGAGAGACAUCCUAGUUGAGGUCAAUCAUCCUUUUAUUGUUAAACUGCACUAUGCGUUUCAGACAGAAGGCAAACUCUAUCUGAUUCUGGACUUUCUCAGAGGAGGAGAUCUCUUCACUCGCCUGUCCAAAGAGGUGA